AAGCAGCACCCUGGGCCUGCGCGCUCCCCCUCGUGGCAAACCUUUUCUUCCGGCUUGGAGCGAGGGAGCUGGCCGGGAGGAGCCAAGGAGGAUUUAGCUGGCCUUGUCCCGUGAGGACUGGAGACUCCCAGGUCUGGGUUGGCCACCUUGGGGCAGGAGCAGGGGUGGGGUGGGGUGGGGGUCGGGGACACAGGAAAUCGGUGCGUCUGCAUUUGCACUCGCAAUGCCACUACGCUCCCGGGUCUCCUCUACCUGCACCACUGUCACCUUCAGAUGGCCUCGGAGCCUCCAAAGAGGGGCAGUGGGAAGUCUCCUGGCUUCCUACAGCUUGAGCUCCAAGAGCGCACCCUGCUCCGCAGGAAUCCAAUACUAGCAGGGAUCAGACUAGAAAGGAGAGUUCAAAGGAUGGGUGGCAUGAAAUUAUAAACAUAAAGAAGAAAGAAGAUACACAUUGCAGAUGCCUUCAGGCUCAGCGAUGUGACUUCCUCCUUUUCAACUGGGAUAACAUUUGUCAACUCUCAAGGUUGUAUAGAAUGCUGUAAGCAUUUGCUAAAGUUUUUUUUUU